UAGAGUUUGAUCCUGGCUCAGGAGAACGCGGCGGCGUGCCUAAUACAUGCAAGUCGAGCGAACAGAUAAGGAGCUUGCUCCUUUGACGUUAGCGGCGGACGGGUGAGUAACACGUGGAUAACCUACCUAUAAGACUGGGAUAACUUCGGGAAACCGGAGCUAAUACCGGAUAAGAUUUUGAACCGCAUGGUUCAAUAGUGAAAGACGGCCUUGCUGUCACUUAUAGAUGGAUCCGCGCCGUAUUAGCUAGUUGGUAAGGUAACGGCUUACCAAGGCAACGAUACGUAGCCGACCUGAGAGGGUGAUCGGCCACACUGGAACUGAGACACGGUCCAGACUCCUACGGGAGGCAGCAGUAGGGAAUCUUCCGCAAUGGGCGAAAGCCUGACGGAGCAACGCCGCGUGAGUGAUGAAGGUCUUCGGAUCGUAAAACUCUGUUAUCAGGGAAGAACAAACGUGUAAGUAACUGUGCACGUCUUGACGGUACCUGAUCAGAAAGCCACGGCUAACUACGUGCCAGCAGCCGCGGUAAUACGUAGGUGGCAAGCGUUAUCCGGAAUUAUUGGGCGUAAAGCGCGCGUAGGCGGUUUUUUAAGUCUGAUGUGAAAGCCCACGGCUCAACCGUGGAGGGUCAUUGGAAACUGGAAAACUUGAGUGCAGAAGAGGAAAGUGGAAUUCCAUGUGUAGCGGUGAAAUGCGCAGAGAUAUGGAGGAACACCAGUGGCGAAGGCGACUUUCUGGUCUGUAACUGACGCUGAUGUGCGAAAGCGUGGGUCAACCGGUUG
rnacentral:rRNA from 1 species